UCCUUUUUAGCAGCAUGACCAUCUGGCCAGUUAUUCCCCAUUUUGUAGUUGUGCAUUUGAUUUUUCCCUUCUCAGCGUAAUACUUUGGGAGGGCUCUGUUAAUUAAUUUCCUUACAAUAUUCCCCACACAUCUCAUUUCCAGUAGGGAAAUUUGCUUUGGGUUUUGUUUUUUAUAUGCAUAACCAUCAGUUAUUAGCAUGCACACAUAAAAUCUCAGCCAAUAGGGGGCAGUAGAUGCACACACACAAACUGGAGUUCCACUAAUCAGGCCCCCUAAUCUCACAGGAAACAGCAAAGAUUCUAGUUGCAAAUGAAAAGAGGUGGAGCUAUUGUCAUUCAUUCUGGUUCCUGAGGAAUCUGUCUGAGGGCAGCAAUCCUAACCCUCCAAGCAGCCGGGAUACAAACAUUUAAUCCAUCUGCUGGUGCAGGUUCUGUGCUGUGGUAGAAUGUGAAGAUUCAGCAUGUAGCUUUGAAACACAAGCUCAGGGGACAGAAAGACAAGUAACUGAAAGGCCUUGUUUACCUUGGAAGAUACUACUGGUGACUGGGAAAUUAGUAGAAUGAUGACAUCACAAGAACCGUGGGAGUGGAGAUAUGUAUCUGUUGGACAAUCAAAGGAGCUACUUCAUUCCUAUGGACCCCAAAUCAAAAUUCAACAUAUAUUUUAUACUAAUACAUUUUAGUAUUUAUACAAUACAUUAGUACUAAUUAAAUGUUAAAUGUUAAUUUGUCAACUUGAGACCAUGGGCGGAAACAUUAUGCAAUCUUUGACCAUUGGCUACUGUGCUAUCAUGUCUUGCUGCUAGACCUAUCCAGGGAAGCGGGACUGCCUACUCCAUCACUUUCCCCCGCCCAUGGAAAAUCCAAAUAUUCCAUUGUAAUCAAUUGAUUGACAGUGUCUCUGAGCCUAAUAAGCAAGGUGACACUCCGUCAGCGCUGUACGUAAUAAACUCCUGUGCUUGACCUCUACAUGGUGUGGAUUUAUGUCCUUAAGGGCUGUGGU